UACGUAGGGACCAAGCGUUGUUCGGAUUUACUGGGCGUAAGGGGCGCGUAGGCGGCAAUUCAAGUCAGUUGUGAAAUCUCCGAGCUUAACUCGGAACGGUCAACUGAUACUGUUUUGCUAGAGUACAGAAGGGGCAAUCGGAAUUCUUGGUGUAGCGGUGAAAUGCGUAGAUAUCAAGAGGAACACCUGAGGUGAAGACGGGUUGCUGGGCUGAUACUGACGCUGAGGCGCGAAAGCUAGGGUAGCAAACGGG
rnacentral:rRNA from 1 species